AGCCCGAAGUUGAGGACGAUGAUGAUAACGAAGACGAUGACUCUGAUGACGAUGAUAAGGAUGAUGACGAGGCUGAUGG
rnacentral:sRNA from 1 species